GAAAUCAAAAUAGUAAAAGACCGUUUUACCCGCAAUACAUUUCACCAAAACUUCCACAAAAAAUGGAUUCUUUGUUCCUCUUCUUCUCCUAGUUUGUGUAGCUGUAGUUUCUUUCUAGGGUUUAUUCCAUGUCAGGACCAAUCAAACACCAUGCCUAACAAUGACAUCUCGGUGAGUUAGUGAGUUAUAACCGAGUCAAAGCCAAUCAACUCAUCCCCAAUUUUCAUUUCAACAUAUUGUCAUGCAAUCGAACAAAUCAUCAUCUUCUCCAUCAUCCAAGUCCAGGUCUCGCAAGAAACACAAAAGACUCGAUGCUAUUUGUGAGAGGGUUUAUAAUCAAAAUCAUAAUCGUAAUGGUGAGUCUGAGUCAGCCGCAGCAGCCUCUUUGGAGCUACGUCGUAGCUCACGAGCACGGCGAGCUCCGGUUGUGUUAGAUGUAUCGCCUCCGCCUGCGAAAAAGCGGAAGAAAAAGGCGAACAGUGUUGUUAAUUUGAGCGGCGGUGGUGUUGGUAGAUAUAGUAAUAGUUAUAGAAGUAGUGGUGGUAGUUUAAAGAGUGCUGGUAAGAAUGAGGAUGAUGAUGUUGAGGGAAGUGAUAAAUUAGGGUUUCUGAAUGAUGCAUCAUCGGAAGGAUGGACUUGGAGAUCGAGAUUGAGACUGAGAUCAAGGAAUAGAGAUAUGAAUAGGAAUGUGAACGUAGAGAGAGGUGAAAGUAGUACGCAUCGGAAACGGAAGCUUCUUUAUGAUGAUGAUAAAGAAGUAGACGUGGUGGGAAGUGAGGAGGAGGAGGAGGAGGAGGAAGAAGGAGAAGUAGAGGAGGAGGAGGAAGAGGAAGAGGAAGAGGAAGGGGAAGCAGAGGAGGAGGAGGAGUUUGAUGAUGAUGACAAGUUGGUGGUUGUGAAAUUGAAGAGGCUGGGGAAGUUGAAAUCGUUAAAUGGUAUAGGGAAUGAAAUGAGUAAUGAUGAAGUUCGUGUGAGGGAAAAGGAUGAGAUUGAGCUGGUGGAGGAUAAGGUAGAGCAGGGUGGAAUGUUGGAUUUGGGUGGUGAAAAGGACGAGGAAAAUGACGUGGAGGUUCUGCAGAAUAAGAUUGAUGAUAGUGUGCCGGUUUUAGUUGAUUGCGAAAAUGGUGAGGAAGUCGUUGAUGUUGAUGUUGAGAAAGAGGACAAAGAGAGAUUGGAUGGUUUCGAAGUGGAGAAGAAUGGUGAUGAAUAUGACAAUGUUGAAAAAGUGGAGCAGAGUGAUAGAGAAUUGGAUGAGGUGGAGAGUAUGAUGGAUGUGGAUAAGAAAGCAGACAUUGUUGAAGUUGAUGAAACUUGGAUGAAUGAGGUGCAUGAUCCUAAUAAGGAAGUAGAUGAUGUUCAAGUCGAUGAUACUUUGAUGAAUGAAGUAAAGGAUCUUGAUAAGUCAGGCGGUGAUGUUGAAGUUGGUGAGACUCGGAUGAAUGUGGUGGAUGGACCUAACAAGGAAGGAGAUGUUGAAAUUGAUGAAACUCUGAUGAAGGAGGCGGAUGAUCCUCAUAAGGAAAGGAGAGUUGGGGCAAAGGGAAGUCCCAAGGAAGUUGGCAAAGAUGCGAAGACAGACAAGUUAAAGCAUGAUCCCCUUACACUUGGUAGGCCGCGAGUUAAACAGGGGCGAUGGUGUGGUUUGUGUGGGUGUGCUAAUGAUGGUAAGCCACCAAAAAGGUUGAUGCAAGAUGCUAAUGACAGUGAUAUUGGGGCAUAUAGUGGUUCAUCAGCUUCAGAGGAGCCAAACUAUGACUUAUGGGAUGGGUUUGGUGAUGAACCUGGAUGGCUUGGCCGCUUAUUGGGUCCUAUAAAUGACCGUCAUGGUAUUGCCGGAAUCUGGGUUCAUCAACACUGUGCUGUAUGGAGUCCAGAGGUUUAUUUUGCUGGUUUGGGUUGCUUAAAAAAUGUAAGGGCUGCACUUUGUAGGGGAAGAGUAUUAAAAUGCACGCGAUGUGGAAGACCAGGUGCAACUAUCGGAUGUCGUGUCGACCGAUGUCCAAAAACUUACCAUUUGCCUUGUGCCCGAGCUAAUGGUUGCAUUUUUGACCAUCGAAAAUUUCUUAUAGCAUGCACGGAUCAUCGACACCUGUUCCAACCUUAUGGUAAUCAAUAUUUAAUGCGGAUAAAGAAAUUGAAAGCCAGGAAAUUGAGACAUGAAGUAAGAAAGCGAUCAAAUGAUACUUUGAGAAAGGAUAUUGAAGCCGAAGAAAAAUGGUUGGAGAAUUGUGGGGAGGAUGAAGAGUUUCUGAAACGUGAGAGCAAGAGGCUUCACCGUGAUUUGCUGAGAAUUGCACCUGUGUAUAUUGGAGGCUCUGAUUCUGAGAAUGUAAAACUAUUUGAGGGAUGGGAAUCUGUUGCUGGGCUUAAGGAUGUAAUACAGUGUAUGAAGGAAGUAGUUAUUUUACCGCUUUUAUAUCCUGAGUUCUUCAGUAACCUAGGGAUUACCCCUCCUAGAGGUAUUCUUCUGCAUGGCUAUCCUGGAACAGGUAAAACUCUUGUGGUUCGAGCCUUGAUUGGUUCAUGUGCUCGUGGUGAUAAGCGGAUUGCGUAUUUUGCUCGUAAAGGUGCAGACUGCUUGGGGAAAUAUGUUGGUGAUUCAGAGCGGCAGCUAAGACUCUUGUUUCAAGUUGCAGAGAAAUGCCAGCCUUCUAUAAUAUUUUUUGACGAAAUAGACGGCUUAGCACCUUGUCGCUCAAGGCGCCAAGAUCAGACUCACAGCUCUGUUGUCUCCACAUUGCUUGCUUUGAUGGAUGGCUUAAAAUCUCGAGGUUCAGUGGUGGUGAUUGGAGCAACAAAUCGGCCUGAGGCUGUUGAUCCAGCAUUGCGUAGGCCUGGGAGAUUCGAUAGGGAAAUUUACUUUCCACUGCCAUCAGUUGAGGACAGGGCAGCCAUACUUUCACUUCAUACGCGGAGGUGGCCGAAACCAGUAACUGGAUCUUUACUGCAGUGGGUUGCAAGUAGAACUGUUGGUUUUGCCGGUGCUGAUCUACAGGCUCUUUGCACACAGGCUGUCAUUAUUGCUCUGAAGAGGAAUUUCCCUUUGCAUGACAUGUUAUCUGCUGCUGGAGGGAAAGCUCCUGGUGCUAGACGUGUUCCUCUUCCAUCUAUUACAGUGGAAGAGAGAGAUUGGUUAGAAGCUUUAGCUUGUGCUCCACCUCCCUGCUCUCGUAGAGAAGCAGGAAUUGCUGCUCAUGAUUUGGUAGCCUCUCCUCUUCCUUUUCACCUUAUUCCAUGUUUGCUCUAUCCAUUAUCCAAGCUGCUUGUUUCCCUCUGUCUUGAUGAACGUCUCUGGCUUCCUCCUCCUCUUUCUAAAGCUGCCGUGAUGGUUAAAAGUGUGAUUAUUUCCAAUUUAGAGAAGAAGAAUCUCCCUAACAAUCAAUGGUGGUUCCAUGCUGAUAAUCUUCUUGAAGAAGCCGAAGUUGCUGAGGAAAUUCAGAAAAGGCUUUCUGGUUUAUUAAUUGAAGAGGAUAGCUAUGCUUGUUCUUAUGGCUCUGCUGAUGAAAAGAAUGAUUAUGGUAUGAAGUUUGAGCCUUCUGUGCAUGAUAGGGGAAUGAAUACCAGCCUGUCCAGAAGUAUAUCUCUUGCAUCAAAAAAGAAAUCAGGAUACCGAUUAUUGGUUGCUGGGGAUGCGAGAUCUGGACAGAGGCAUGUCGCUUCUUGCGUGCUUCAAUGUUUUCUUGGGAAUGUUGAAGUUCAGAAGGUUGAUCUUGCUACAAUUUCGCAAGAAGGGCAUGGCGAUAUAGUCCAAGGGAUUACAGGCUUAUUAAUGAAAUUUGGUAGCUUACAAUCAUUGGUGAUAUUCAUGCCAAGAAUUGAUUUGUGGGCUAUGGAGGCUUCUCAUCAAGUUACUGAGGAGAGGAAUACAUCUUCAAUUGACCAACCUUCUGAGGCAACAGAAUGUAGUUCGACACCUAUUCAAGAUAUUGGAAAGGAAAAUGUGUCUGAGAAGAAAGAAUCUUGUUCCACAUCUAUUGAUGGCAUUGAAAAGAAUGACGAGUCCUUUGAAGAUCAAUGCGACGAAUCUGAAAUGCAAUUGCCUCAAAGUGCCAUCCUAACUGCUUCACAUGCCUGGUGCUCAUUUGUGGAGCAGGUGGAAUAUAUAUCUGUAUCAACAUCCUUGAUCAUUCUGGCUACGUCAGAACUUCCAUUCCUGGAACUCCCACAAGAAAUAAAGCAAUUCUUUGCAAGUCCCAUCUCAAAUAGCAGUAAGUUGACUACUGUGGAGUAUGCAAUACCUCGAUUCUUGGUGCAUAUUAGAAAGGAUUUUAACCGUGAUAUGGUCAUCAGUCUUGCUGCUGCUAAGUUAUUGAGGGAUAUAAUACAGCUCCGUGUUUUAUUACUUCAUCAAAAAGCACAUAUCCGUACUUCAUCUGUUGACUACAAAUUUUGGGAUUCUAAUCAAGCAUGUUGCGACACAGGAUGCCAUAAUAAGAAUAAUGGCUCUGAAGAAGUCUCUCAUGAUCAUUCAAAAGUUGCACCACCACCAAGUAAUAGAAGUUUAAAAGGAAAAUCAAACUUGCUAUUAGCGAUAUCCACAUUCGGCAAUCAGAUUCUUAGAUUUCCUCAUUUUGCUGAACUGUGUUGGGUCACAUCAAAACUGAAAAAAGGACCUUGUGUCGAUGUGAGUGGACCUUGGAAGGGCUGGCCUUUCAAUUCAUGCAUUAUUCGACCGGGUACUCUGGAUACAAUACCAGCUACUUGUAGUGCGGGAAAUAUUAAAAGCAAAGACAGGUAUGGCUUAGUCAGAGGUUUAGUUGCUGUGGGUUUGUCAGCAUACAGAGGUGUAUACAAGUCGCUUAGAGAGGUCUCCUUUGAGGUAAGGCAAGUUCUUGAGCUUCUUGUUGAACAAGUGAAUGAAAAGAUUCGGGCUGGGAAAGAUCGACAUCAGUACAUUCGUCUCUUAUCACAAGUUGCUUAUCUGGAAGACAUGGUUAAUAGCUGGGCACAUGCAUUGCAGAGUUUAGAAGUCGACAAGCUAAUCAAAGUGACAAAUGCUAUUCACAUUUCCCCCGAGUUUCAAAGCAAUCAUGCUUCUCUAGAUGAUUUAAUCCAAAAUGAGCAAUGCAAAGGAAUUGCAUCAAAUAAAAGUGCCAAUGGAUCUGAAUGUUUGCAAAGCUGUUCUGUGAAAUUUGUUCCUCAACAUGUCGAAUUGAAUGAAGUUGAAAAUAUUAUUGACCAUUCCAGUUGUGAUGAUAGAAAUGUUCUUUCAGAAGAAUUUUCUGCACAGCAGAUUGUCCAUUGCGACCAUACCAACUCAGAUAAAAAUAUUCAAAACUCAACAUGUGAUAACCAGUUGAUUGAUAGUAAUGCAGAUGAACAGAAUGGAACUACUCUCGGACAAUGUGAGCUGGAAAAUCCAAAUACUGUUUCAGUUGGCGCUGGACUGGACAAUGGAUUCUUGAAACAUUCUAAUGAAUUUGCUGCAGUCACAGAAGUUAUCCAUUAUGAAAAUGGUUUCUCUGGCUCAACUAAACAAUGUACCAACAAGUCAUCUGGCCUCAUGGAAUCCUGCGAACAGAUCGAGGGAGUGGCUGCAAUGGACAAGGAAGCUAAAUGCAUGGAUAAUCAACCCAAUUGUGAUGAGCUUCUAGGAGAUGCACACUGUUCUUCGGUCAAAGAUACCAGUCAUUGUGCUGAUUCCGGGGUUGUGUGUUCUUACAUCUGUUGCUCUGGAUGCCUUUCCAUUCUUCAAAGAAUUAUUCAGAAAAUCCUUGUUCAUAAGUGGGAAUUAAACAAUAGCUAUUGGACAGCAGAUGAUGUUCAUGAUGUUGUUUCAUCAUUGUCUAUGGAUCUUCUAUCAGCAGUCAGAAAAGUUGACGUUGGAGGUAAUUCAUAUAAUGAAAAUCUGAGAUACGGGAAUCCUGAACUUUUUUCUGAAUUUACAGAGUUGCAAAGUUGUCACUGCCAAAGCUCAGAUUCGGCAACAGAGUGUAGUUGCCACUCUUUGGAAAGGUGUGCAACUACAAAAGCAAGUGGCUCCCUAGAUAUGCAGUCGGGUAUGGAACUGGAAUAUAAUUUCAGAGAUGGCAUCUUGAUUCCUGUAGAUUCUAACAAAAAUGUUUCUUUCCAUUGUAAAUACGAGACUUUUUGCCUUUGUUCUACUAUAAAGUCAGUAGUAAUGAUGAUGCAGCCUUCUGAUUGAUAUAAUAUCUUCGCAGCAUGGAUUGCCUAGCUCUUUUGCAGAAUUAGGUGUAAAUGAUCAUAUUCAAAAGGGAAGCCGAGGACCCUUCUGCCAUAACUGAGGUUAGUAACUUGUCAACUUCUUUUAUAAUCUCACUGCACUUUUUACAUGUUUCUCCAUUAAAUAAGUUGAUUUAUAAUUGUUGCUUUCUGAUCAAGACCUUUGUCUCUACCCGGACCCGAUGAAAAAUAUGAGAUCUUUUAUUGCUUCUC